rnacentral:rRNA from 1 species
CAAUAGCGUAUAUUAACGUUGUUGCAGUUAAAAAGCUCGUAGUUGGAUUUCGGUUGAGAACGGCCGGUCCGCCGUUUGGUGUGCACUGGCUGGUUUCAACUUCCUGUAGAGGACGCGCUCUGGCUUCACGGCUGGACGCGGAGUCUACGUGGUUACUUUGAAAAAAUUAGAGUGUUCAAAGCGGGCUUACGCUUGAAUAUUUCAGCAUGGAAUAACACUAUAGGACUCCUGUCCUAUUUCGUUGGUCUCGGGACGGGAGUAAUGAUUAAGAGGAACAGUUGGGGGCAUUCGUAUUUCAUUGUCAGAGGUGAAAUUCUUGGAUUUAUGAAAGACGAACUUCUGCGAAAGCAUUUGCCAAGGAUGUUUNCAUUA